rnacentral:lncRNA from 1 species
UCGGUCUCUCUCUUAGACCAUUUGUCUCCUCCUUCUCUCUAGAACCUUCUGGUUCUCUCUUCCUUCUCCGAUGGUCUUCAUCGCCUUUCCGGCCAACCCUAUCCUCACUUCCCUCGACCACCAGUCACAAUGGACCUCGUCUCCUUUUUCUCUCUAAGCUCUGAGGCUUCGAAGACUUCCACCAUGCAAGACGGUCUCUGGAAGCCUUUCUUGGCUUAUCUCUGGCCUUUUUCCAGUGGUUUUCAAUCAGAUAGUACUAUAAACACCAUAAUUAACGAGUUUCACAACCAGGUUCGUUACCUCAAUGAUUUAUUGCAAAACCCUAAUUUUUUCCUAAGUCUCUUAAUCUCUGUCUUUUAAAACAAUUUUCAGUUUAUUCUUUCUAUUUUACACUACUCACUACUCGAUUUCAUCAAUUAAUUCAAGUUUUUCAAUGUUUGUUCUUUUUCUAAAAAAAGCUAGGGUUUUUUAAUCCCUUUUUCAAAAUCGCUAUAUCUUCUAUUUCUUUUGAGUAUUAUGUAUGCAUGUAGUUUUGUUACGAGCCUGUUUUUUUCUGAGCUCCACGCUUUAAAAUUUUUUAGGUUUCCAAUCCUCUACUGCUUCAAUGAUUUAUUGCAUAAUGUUCUCUGAUUUUUCACGUUGUGUUCAUAGGUCUUAUUUGAACGAUUCUAUACAUCUCUUUGAAUCCCUGAUUUGUAUGUAUUUUCCUUAAGGGUUCUUACACUAAUUUUUUAAUUAUUUCCUUACUUGUGAGAUGCUCUCUAUACUUGGUACUGAUUCCCUCUGAUUUUUGUCUUGUCUGUGAUUAUUUGACUAAUUUCAGAGUUAAUUUUAUAUGUUCACCAUAUUUGUGUACUUAAAAAUAUGGUUCAAAUACUCAGCUUAUAUUUUUCUUAUUUGGAGUGUUAUGUAUUUGGCCUUUAAUAAAUACAACAGACCUAAUACUUUUACUAUGGUAAUCAGCCGCCUGAUUGAUUAUUUCCUUUAUCCGAUAUAGUUUUCGUCCCAUUCGAAUCGGGAAUCCAUAAUUUAUAUGAAUUAGGUCCUGUGAUUGAUUCAAAUUGGUACUAUUUCUAUAAUUAUGUACUUGUUACCUAUUCUCUAUUGGGUUUCGAAAACUAUAAGUACUCCUUCUGUCUUCUCACUUCAUACAAAAAUAAUUCAUUCUGAACUCUCUCUCACACAAAAAUAUUCAGUGCUCUCUUGUUUCUACACAACCUCUCUCACUUCUCUACUGGUUACUGAGCUGGUUUGAAACCCAGACUGAGCAUUAGGCUACUUUAUUUGUUUUAUUACUCUCUCUCUCUGUGUGUAUUUUCUGCUCACUUCUCUACAUUUAUGCUUGCUCGAGUUUACUAUUGUACUGACUUAACUACUACUGUUGCUCUCUCUGCAUACCCUCUGCAUUUGCUGCUCACUCCCUUGCACACUAUUGCUCACCACUUUGCAUAUUAUAACUCACUACUGCCCUGCAUUACCUUGCCUUCAACUGGUAUGUCUCCUAUUUGAUUUACAACUUCAAAGAAAUAUGUUUCUAUUUGUAUUGAACUUUCUCUUAUUUCUGGUAUGUUUCUACUUAUGGUUUUGUUGUGCUUACUGCAAUUAGCAUGCCUCUGCUUUCAUUAAUAUGCCUAUCUUAAUCUGGCAUGCCCAUUAAUCCCUUUGUCUGUCUCCUGCACUUUUCUUCUUAUCCCCUAACCCCAGUACAUUACUAGAAUGUUAUUCAGGAACCCUGAACCUCCUCUUGAUGUGUGAAUCUGUCAAUCCAAUGUUGUUAAUACCAUGACCCUUUUGAGUGAAGCAUGCUUGGUUGUUUAAGCUCUGAAGUGCUUCUCUUUGAUGUUAUAUAUGUAACUGUGUUCUCACUUGUGAGCUACUUGUCCCCAAUGCCCCUACUUGUGCUUGUCUUAUAUUGUAUCUUAUGUUGCUUUUCUCUCAAAACUGUUUCUCUAGGGACCCUCUUUCAAACUGUUUUUCAAUUCAAUCUCUUUAAAACUCUAUCACGAUCUCACUAAUCCUAGAAUUUCGGUUCUACCCCCUUAGUGUAAGCAUUGCUUUGGGUACCUUGAGUACCCACUAAACUUUGAUGCACAAGGCUUGUAAUUCCAAACUUGCACCUGUCUUGACGAUUUAUUUUUUGUUCUUGGUAUUGGCCGAGCGUCCCAAUGGACCCUUAGGGAGCUUUACCUAAUUCCACACUUGCACUGAUUCAAUGUUAAUCUAUUUGGGUGCCUGGUAUUGUCCAAGGGCCCGAAUGGGCCCUUAGGUAGCUUUGUCGUGCCCAAACCUUGGUAAAGGCUGUGAAACCCGAAAGAAGCGAGGUUGGAGACUUGGGCCUGGUUGAAGGCUCCCUGUAGAAUAACUUCUUAUCUUUUUACUACUAUAAUUUAAUUAUCUUGGUUUGUAAUAAUUUAUAACGAAUGAUUGGGGGUUUAUAGUGAAAUGGGGGAACUAUGCAUGCUUAGUUUAAGGGUACGGGUAGAAAACAUGCUUGUUGGGAUUUUCUUAUUUGUGCAAAGAUAUCCUGUCUAGGACAUGCAUCUCACAUGACUAGAAAUCCUAUUUUUAGGCUCUUUACUUUCAAUUCGUUAUUUACUUUAUAAUCACAAUCAGUUAACAACCAACAAGUCACGAAUGCUGCAUUUAGAUACCAUGUUUAGGACCUUUAUGUGCAUUAGAUAUCAUGUACGUAAGGAUUUAUUUGCAACUGUUGAAUGCCUCACUAGUUUAUUUUAACGACAUACGUCUGGCUAACAGUCUCUCUUAAAAUUGAAAAUCAAACAUGCAAUAUAUCAUGUUUAGGACCUUCAUGUGCAUUAGAUAUCAUGUACGUAAGGCUAUUUUUGCAAUUGUUGAAUGUCUCACUACUUUAUUUGUUCUAUUUCUCUCUCUGUGUGUAUUUGCUGCUCACUUCUCUACAUUGAUGCUUGCUCGAGUUUUCUAUUACUGCUCACUUCACUACUACUGCUGCUCUCUCUCUCUUCAGACCCUCUGUAUUUGUUGCUCUCUCCAUUGCAUACUAUUGCUCACCACUUUGCAUAUUAUAACUCACUACUGCCCUGCAUUACCUUGCCUUCAACUCUUUACGACUACUGUUGCUCUCUCUGCAUAUUGCUGCUCACUCCCUUGCACAUUAUUUCUCACCACUUUGCAUAUUAUAACUCACUACUGCCCUGUAUUACCUAGCCUUCAACUGGUAUGUCUCCUAUUUGAUUUACAGCGUCAAAGCAAUAUAUUUCUAUUUGUAUUGCACUUCCUCUUAUUUAUGGUAUGUUUCUACUUAUGGUUUUGUUGUGCUUACUGCAAUUAGCAUGCCUCUGUGUUGAUUAAUAUGCCUAUCUUAAUCUGGCAUGCCCAUUACUCCCUUUGUCUGUCUCCUGCAUGUUUCUCCUUAUCCUCUAACCUCAGUAUAUUAUUAGCAUGUUAUUCAGGAACCCAGAACCUCCUCUUGAUGUGUGAAUCUGUCAAUCCAAUGUUGUUAAGAUCCUGACCCCUUUGUGUGAAGCCUACUUGAUUAUUUAAGUUCGGAAGUGCUUCUCUUUGAAGUCGUAUAUGUAACUGUAUUCUCACUUGUGAGCUACUUGUCCCCGAUGUCCUCAGCCCCUGCUUUUGCUUGCCUGAUAUUGUAUCUUCUGUUGCUUUUCUCUCUAAACUGUUUCUCUAUGGACCCUGUUUUAAACUGUUUUUCAACUGAAUCUCUUUAAAACUCUAUCACAAUCUCACUACUCCUAGAAUUUAGGUUAUACCCCCUUAGUGUAAGCAUUGCUUUGGGUACCAUUAGUAUCCACUGAACUUUGAUGCACAAGGCUGGUAAUUCCACACUAGCACCGAUUCAAUAUUUAUCUAUUUGGGUGCCUGGUAUUGGACAAGGGCCCAAAUGGUCCCUUAGGGAGCUUUUCCGCACCCAAACCUUUGUAAAGGCUGUGAAACUUGAAAGAAGCGAGGUUGGAGACUUGAGCCUGGUUGAAGGUUCCCUAUCGAAUAACUUCUUUUAUUUUUAAUACUGUAAUUUAAUUAUCUUGGUUUGUAAUAAUUUGCAACGAAUGAUUGGAGGUUUAUAGUGAAAAGGGGGAACUAUGCAUGCUUAGUUUAAGGGUAAGGGUAAAAACAUUCUUGUAGGGCUUUUCUUAUUUCUGCAAUAGAUAUCCUGUCUAGGACAUGCGUCUCACAUGACUAGAAAUCGUUUUUUUAGGCUCUUUAUUUUCAGUUUGUUAUUUACUUUAAAAUCACAAGCAGUUAAUAAACAAUAAGUCACGGCUACUGCAUUUAGAUACCAUGUUUAGGACCUUUAUGUGCAUUAGAUAUCAUGUACGUAAGGAUUUAUUUGAAACUGUAGAAUGCCUCGCUAAUUUAGGUUAACGACACAAUUCUGGCUAACAGUCUCUCUUUAAAUUGAAAAUCAAACAUGCAAUCAGGCAAUAUAUAUAUAUAAUGCGUAGGCAAGGUUUAGACUAUUCAAUCAUUUUUUUAACUGUCUGAACUUGUUUCUCAUUUUCAUCUCUCUGAAGUCCGCUUGGUUUUCCUACUAAACUCUCGGCCCAUUUUUUAAUGACAUCUAUAUGUUUUUCCACUAAGUUACCUUUCCAGUCCAGAAUUGGACUACUGUUUUUUCUAAAACUAUCCGAAUACUAUGUCCUUAAUAUCGUCUGUAAUUUUUUCAAGAGUAUAUUUUUAACACUAAUACUUACUGCUCUCUCUCUUUUAUACUUCUGAAAUCCUGAAUGGUUUUGCAUCUGUGCUAUAUGUUUUACCUCUCCUGUCCAAAACUAUGCUAUUUUUAUGCUGUUAGCGGAAUGCUACAUCCGUUAUAGUUUAUUAUACAUUUUCAAGUGUGUUGCAAAGUGUUUUCCCACUGAUUCCUAAAUUAUUGUACAUUUACUGUAAUUUUCUCAAAUGCUAAAAAUUUUCAACCAAACGUUUUUCUGAAAUUCUUGUUAAGUUUUCUGCUCCUAUUGUAACCAAUCCUACGACAUUCCAACUUUUAAAGUCUCAUUUCUUUAGACCUUAAAUUUUUUUGAGGCUUGCUAAUUAUCUAUGGAGGGAUAAUUGAUUUAUUUUUAGAUUGAACAUUAGUAUCCAUUAAUACCGAAAAUAUACAAGGUAGAGCUCUAGUUGUAGCUUUGACUUGCUACUACUCCUUUACAUCACAAUCAAUCUCUACUAAGUACCUAACUACUCUUUCACUAAUUAUAAUUUAGUGUAGUAGCUAGCUAUUACAAACAAUAUCUAUGGAAAACUGUUAAUUGAACCUUUUACAUGCUCUUUGUAUGAUUCCUUUAAGUAAAGUCCUAUUUGUUUUGCAUGUCGCUUAGCAUUUAGACCUUUAAACCUAAGGUUUCAGCCUAGUUCUUACCUUAUAGUAAUAGUGGUCAUAAAUACCCUCUAGGACCUAUAGGACGGGACGGGUACUAGCACGAAAUAAUCACUCGUGACCAAUCCAUACAUUUAAAUAACCUUUACGGGGCGGGAAGCGUAGAAUAUGGAGAUGAUGACCGGUGCUCUAAUAUCUUGUGCGAUCCCUCUUUUGAGGAGUGAUUGCUGGGUAUUGCAUUGAUGUGAUCCAUAUUGUAAUUAAACCUAGGACCUCCAUUAUUUUCUUUCCUAAUGUUUUUUUUAAUUGUUUUCAUUUCUCUGCAUCAACUUCUUUUCUCAAAGACUGUCUAUUAUUCCUUGUCUUUUCAAAGUUUUAAACUUAUUUGUAACUACUAUGUGCAAACCUUACUUAUUUCCUUCUAUUCCUUUUAAAGUCAUAAUUAAGCAUGGCCAGGAACCACACUAGUGGAUCUUGAGGGGUGCAUAAAACCUUUCCCUCGAGAUAGCAAGCCCUUUCUGGUUUUCUUUCAAAAUCUUCUUCUUUUCUGUAAAAGUGACCUAGUGCACUAUUAUCAGGUGGCGACUGUUCAAACUCUAUCACCCAAUUCCUCCAAAGGGAAUAAGAGUUGUUUUGUCCAUAAUAUCAUAAACCCGAUUUAAUUCCUUUUUUAAGAAAGGGGAAAAAGGGGACGUCGACAACAAGACGACUCUGCUGGGGAUUUUUAAGGCUUUUACCAUUACGUGCUCUUUUGACUUUAUUGCUUCCUUAAUUGUUUUCAUUUCCCGCCUUUAAUUAUUUCAUCAUGCUUACUAACUUGGCUCUUCAUGUUUUCCCUUUCUUUUAAUUUCUUCCUUUACUGCUUUUUCAAUACCGUUGUAACUUUUUGAGUAUUUACUGUAAUCUUCUACUGUAUGAAAGUGAAAAUACAUGCAAUUUGCUUCAUUUUUGUAGUUGCAUCUUCAAAAUCAUAAUUCACUCGUGCCAAAACAAAUCAUAUAAUAUAAUGAGUGGUUGCGCCCUUCCAAUAUUAUAACCCCCUAAAUGUGGCAAAGGCACAUGUGCGGUAAAACCAGUCGAUCAAUGGUGUAGUCGAAGGUUUCACGCCUUUCCCUUUUGAGUUGUCCGCUCAAGGGUACCUUGUCUAGCACUUCAAAAAAAGAAACCUUACACUAUUAAAUUGUUCAUGCAUCAUGGUCAAACUUAGCCGAGUCAGUUAUGUUGCCCGCAUAAUGGCUCAUUAAGAUAGCCUAAACCAAAGUCCAUUGGGUUUCCACGAAACCCAAACGGACGCCUUUAAGUUACGUGCAUUUAUUUGGAGAACUAAAUGCCUUUAUGCUAAUUAUUCAUUUAAAUAGUCAAGUCUGGGUCUAACCCUUUGUUUUGCAGAAAAUGAGGUACGAGAUCCCCGACUUCUGUAUGGUUAGUAUACCCUUACUCUUACUGACCUAGUGGAGAAAUUUCCAAUAAAAUGACCAAAUCGAUGAAUGGAAAGAUAGGGUCACCCAGGCUAGUUAGAAUUUGGAAUACAUGUAGUACAACCUACUGGAAUUAGAAGGAAAAAUGAGUAAAAGAAUCAUCGACUGUCAAAAUGCUGAGGAAGGCGAAGGGGAAUGCAUGGUGAAGGUGUUUUUAAUAGAGAAUCUACGUGAGCUGGAGGAUUUGAUCAACGAGAACAUUCAACCUAAAGAAGGUCUUUCUAGGACCAAGUAGUUAGGACCUUUUUUAUUGCUUUCAUAAUGUAAUAAAGCCACUGGCCAUUAGUGAC